rnacentral:rRNA from 1 species
CGUGUAGGCGGGUCUUUAAGUCAGGGGUGAAAUGCCAAGGCUCAACCUUGGAACUGCCUUUGAUACUGGGGACCUUGAGUCCGGGAGAGGUGAGUGGAACUGCGAGUGUAGAGGUGAAAUUCGUAGAUAUUCGCAAGAACACCAGUGGCGAAGGCGGCUCACUGGCCCGGAACUGACGCUGAGACGCGAAAGCGUGGGGAGCAAACAGGAUUAGAUACCCUGGUAGUCCACGCUGUAAACGAUGGAUGCUAGCCGUUGGGGAGCUUGCUCUUCAGUGGCGCAGCCAACGCUUUAAGCAUCCCGCCUGGGGAGUACGGUCGCAAGAUUAAA